rnacentral:rRNA from 1 species
GAGUUUGAUCCUGGCUCAGGAUGAACGCUGACAGAAUGCUUAACACAUGCAAGUCGACUGGAAUUCACCUUCGGGUGAUAGUACGGUGGCGGACGGGUGAGUAACGCGUAAAGAACUUGCCCUCUAGACUGGGACAACUGUUGGAAACGACAGCUAAUACCGGAUAUUAUGGAGCUGCGACAUCGCAGAUCUAUGAAAGGCUAUAUGCGCUAGAGGAGAGCUUCGCGUCCCAUUAGGUAGUUGGUAGGGUAAUGGCCUACCAAGCCGACGAUGGGUAGCCGGCCUGAGAGGGUGAUCGGCCACAAGGGGACUGAGACACGGCCCUUACUCCUACGGGAGGCAGCAGUGGGGAAUAUUGGACAAUGGGCCACAAGCCUGAUCCAGCAAUUCUGUGUGCACGAUGAAGGUCUUCGGAUCGUAAAGUGCUUUCAGGUGGGAAGAAGAAAGUGACGGUACCACCAGAAGAAGCGACGGCUAAAUACGUGCCAGCAGCCGCGGUAAUACGUAUGUCGCAAGCGUUAUCCGGAAUUAUUGGGCGUAAAGCGCGUCUAGGCGGCCUUUUAAGUCUGAUGUGAAAAUGCGGGGCUCAACUCCGUAUUGCGUUGGAAACUGAAAGGCUAGAGUAUCAGAGAGGUGGGCGGAACUACAAGUGUAGAGGUGAAAUUCGUAGAUAUUUGUAGGAAUGCCGAUGGGGAAGCCAGCUCACUGGAUGAAUACUGACGCUAAAGCGCGAAAGCGUGGGGAGCAAACGGGAUUAGAUACCCCGGUAGUCCACGCCGUAAACGAUGAUCACUAAGUGUGGGGGGUCGAACCUCCGUGCUCAAGCUAACGCGAUAAGUGAUCCGCCUGGGGAGUACGCACGCAAGUGUGAAACUCAAGGAAUUGACG